rnacentral:lncRNA from 1 species
CGGGAAACGAACUCACGACCUUGCACUUGCCAGGCAGGCGCUUUGCUGGUGAGCUAAACCGCCAGCCCCCGGGGCUUCUGGUUUUGACAUCUCUCUGCUUGGACUCUGCCUUCGCCAGCAGAAUUAGGCAGAGGGCAUCAUUCGUGCACGGUCCCAUCACAGCAGCAGCAAAGAACCUCUGGCUAAUAAAGGACCAGCUCAGGAAACUGGGAAGAAAGUCCCUAAGGUUCA